GACGAACGCUGGCGGCGUGCUUAACACAUGCAAGUCGAACGGAAAGGCCCUGCUUUUGUGGGGUGCUCGAGUGGCGAACGGGUGAGUAACACGUGAGUAACCUGCCCUUGACUUUGGGAUAACUUCAGGAAACUGGGGCUAAUACCGGAUAGGAGCUCCUGCUGCAUGGUGGGGGUUGGAAAGUUUCGGCGGUUGGGGAUGGACUCGCGGCUUAUCAGCUUGUUGGUGGGGUAGUGGCUUACCAAGGCUUUGACGGGUAGCCGGCCUGGGAGGGUGACCGGCCACAUUGGGACUGAGGUACGGCCCAGACUCCUACCGGAGGCAACAGUGGGGAAUAUUGCACAAUGGGCCGAAGCCAGAUGCGACAACGCCGCGUGCGGGAUGACGGCCUUCGGGUUGUAAACCGCUUUCGCCUGUGACGAAGCGUGAGUGACGGUAAUGGGUAAAGAAGCACCGGCUAACUACGUG
rnacentral:rRNA from 1 species